GAGUUUGAUCCUGGCUCAGGACGAACGCUGGCGGCGUGCCUAAUACAUGCAAGUCGAACGAACUCUGGUAUUGAUUGGUGCUUGCAUCAUGAUUUACAUUUGAGUGAGUGGCGAACUGGUGAGUAACACGUGGGAAACCUGCCCAGAAGCGGGGGAUAACACCUGGAAACAGAUGCUAAUACCGCAUAACAACUUGGACCGCAUGGUCCGAGCUUGAAAGAUGGCUUCGGCUAUCACUUUUGGAUGGUCCCGCGGCGUAUUAGCUAGAUGGUGGGGUAACGGCUCACCAUGGCAAUGAUACGUAGCCGACCUGAGAGGGUAAUCGGCCACAUUGGGACUGAGACACGGCCCAAACUCCUACGGGAGGCAGCAGUAGGGAAUCUUCCACAAUGGACGAAAGUCUGAUGGAGCAACGCCGCGUGAGUGAAGAAGGGUUUCGGCUCGUAAAACUCUGUUGUUAAAGAAGAACAUAUCUGAGAGUAACUGUUCAGGUAUUGACGGUAUUUAACCAGAAAGCCACGGCUAACUACGUGCCAGCAGCCGCGGUAAUACGUAGGUGGCAAGCGUUGUCCGGAUUUAUUGGGCGUAAAGCGAGCGCAGGCGGUUUUUUAAGUCUGAUGUGAAAGCCUUCGGCUCAACCGAAGAAGUGCAUCGGAAACUGGGAAACUUGAGUGCAGAAGAGGACAGUGGAACUCCAUGUGUAGCGGUGAAAUGCGUAGAUAUAUGGAAGAACACCAGUGGCGAAGGCGGCUGUCUGGUCUGUAACUGACGCUGAGGCUCGAAAGUAUGGGUAGCAAACAGGAUUAGAUACCCUGGUAGUCCAUACCGUAAACGAUGAAUGCUAAGUGUUGGAGGGUUUCCGCCCUUCAGUGCUGCAGCUAACGCAUUAAGCAUUCCGCCUGGGGAGUACGGCCGCAAGGCUGAAACUCAAAGGAAUUGACGGGGGCCCGCACAAGCGGUGGAGCAUGUGGUUUAAUUCGAAGCUACGCGAAGAACCUUACCAGGUCUUGACAUACUAUGCAAAUCUAAGAGAUUAGACGUUCCCUUCGGGGACAUGGAUACAGGUGGUGCAUGGUUGUCGUCAGCUCGUGUCGUGAGAUGUUGGGUUAAGUCCCGCAACGAGCGCAACCCUUAUUAUCAGUUGCCAGCAUUAAGUUGGGCACUCUGGUGAGACUGCCGGUGACAAACCGGAGGAAGGUGGGGAUGACGUCAAAUCAUCAUGCCCCUUAUGACCUGGGCUACACACGUGCUACAAUGGAUGGUACAACGAGUUGCGAACUCGCGAGAGUAAGCUAAUCUCUUAAAGCCAUUCUCAGUUCGGAUUGUAGGCUGCAACUCGCCUACAUGAAGUCGGAAUCGCUAGUAAUCGCGGAUCAGCAUGCCGCGGUGAAUACGUUCCCGGGCCUUGUACACACCGCCCGUCACACCAUGAGAGUUUGUAACACCCAAAGUCGGUGGGGUAACCUUUUAGGAACCAGCCGCCUAAGGUGGGACAGAUGAUUAGGGUGAAGUCGUAACAAGGUAGCCGUAG
rnacentral:rRNA from 2 species